AGAGCCGGGUGCUCGGAGGAGGCAGUUCCAGACCCCCAGGCUCUGGCUUGUGCAGCUAACUGGAAAUUCUCAAAGAAGCAGAAGCCUCAAAUAUUUCUGCUAUUGAUGAGAGAGAUGAAAUUAUGACAGAGGCUGGGCACGGUGGCUCAUGCCUGUAAUCCCAGCACUUUGGAGGCUGAGAAGGGUGGGUCACCUGAGGUUAGGAGUUUGAGACCAGCCUGACCAAAUCCCGUCUCUACUAAAAAUACAAAAAUUAGCCGGGUGUGGUGGUACAUGCCUGUAAUCCCAGCUAAGGCAGGAGAAUUGCUUGAACCCAGGAGGCGGAGGUUGUGGUGAGCUGGAAUCGAGCCAUUGCACUCCAGCCUAAGUAACAAGAGGGAGAUUUUGUCUCAAAAAAAAAAAGAGGGCCAGGUGCCGGUGCCUCACACCUGUAAUCCCAGCACUUUGGGAGGCCAACGCGGGUGGAUCACAAAGUCAAGAGAUCGAGACCAUCCUGGCCAACAUGGUGAAACCCCAUCACUGCUGAAAAUACAAAAAUUAGCUGGACAUGGUGGCGGGCACCUGUAGUCCCAGCUACUCCGGAGGCUGAGGCAGGAGAAUUGCUUGAACCUGGGAGGUGGAGGUAAGCUGAGAUCGCGCCACUGCACUCCAGUCUGGUGACAGAGCAAGACCCCAUCUCAAAAAAAAAAAGAAAAAAGAAGUUGAUGAUAGAACAUAGAUGAUAGAGAAUAACACGGACCAAACUGUGUAACAUCACAGAUGUCU
rnacentral:lncRNA from 1 species